CCCCAGCAGCUGAGGUACAUGACGGUCCUCAUCCCCUCCUCGGCCUUGUCCGCGCGCCUCCUCUCCGCCGCCGUUGCCGCCGGGGCCAUCUUCUUGGCCUGCGCGAGGCUGCGCACGUUGGACUUGGCGUUCCGGUGGACGGACCGCAGGGCGUAGUUCCAGCGGCAGAGGCCCGCCUGGUCCUUGAGCGCCUCCACGGCGCCCACGCUCAUCGCCACCAUCCACGACGCCUUCGCCGCUCCG
rnacentral:lncRNA from 1 species